GCAAACAUUUACUGCAGAGUAACUUCCUAAAAGCCAUGCUAAACCUUGCAAGGGUUAGUGUAACUGGUUCAACCACUUUUGCCUUUUCAUUUGCAAAUAUCCCUCUUCUGUGAUGUGAUUACUGGCAUUGGCUCCUUUUGUUUUAACUGGGAAUA